UUUUCUCAAAAGAAAAAGCUCAGCCACAAAUUUAAAGUGUUGUACAGCACUCUAGCCUUUAAGUCAGUAACUCAACAAAGGCAGUAAAAUAGAAAGAUACAGUAGUGAGAGCAAUGGAGGAAGAGAAAAGAGAGAUGGUCUGAUACCGGAGGUUGUCGACUUAGACUCGAGCACAGAGAGACGGACUCACAGCAGGGCAACUGGCACUGCGAUCGGGGGCACACGCACCGUAAUUCACAGCAACGUUUGAUUAUUUGCCCAGGUGGCCCACAAAAGUUUGCUGAUCACGUUUGAACAAAUGGAAGUCCUUUGAACAUUUGACUCUAUUAUUUGCUGAUCACCUUUUUUUUGGGCUGAAUGUUAGUGUAAAUUUGCUGAUCACGUUUUGUUUUUUUGGGCGGAAUGUAGUUUAAAUUUGCUGACUACGUAUUAUUUGCCCAGGUGAAGAAUGUUGCCCAGGUGAAGAAACUGUUGCCCACAAAAGUUUGCUGACCACGUUUGAACAAAUGGAAGUCCUUUGAACAUUUGCCUCUAUUAUUUGCUGAUCACGUUUUUUUGGGCUGAAUGUAAUGUAAAUUUGCUGA